CACCUUCUCAAGAAGCAGGUGCUGCUGCCUGGGGAUUCUUUCCUGCCGGCUGCCCCCUGCUAUUCAUUAAAAGGUCAAGUAUCAGCAGAUUUUUAAACACACCACAACCUUAUGAAAAUCUGAAACACAGUGGCUGAAGACUGUGAGAAAAAGAGCUACAAAGACAAUUACAAAGAGCUCUCCAAGAAGGCGGAAAGGAGGAAGCAAAGUGGGACAGGUGCCAUGGGACAUAUUCUUCUUUCAUGGACAUAUUGUGAUUCCAGUUCCCACAAGAUGGUCCCAGGUCCCAGGCUCUGGUAACAGCACUCUUUGUCCCACCAGCCCUAGGAGAGGGAGCAGUUCCUGCUGGUGCUAAACUCUGAGCUGCCUCAUCACCUCUGCUGGAACGUCCUAACUC